rnacentral:misc_RNA from 1 species
CGGGCCAGUGCCCGAUGGCCCGUUCCCACCUGGACGUGCGUCGCCGGUAACGGCGGGGUGCGAAGCUCCGGGGAAAGCCCAAGGGC